rnacentral:rRNA from 1 species
CCUACGGGGGGCAGCAGUGGGGAAUAUUGCACAAUGGGGGAAACCCUGAUGCAGCGACGCCGCGUGAGUGAAGAAGUAUCUCGGUAUUUAAAGCUCUAUCAGCAGGGAAGAAAAUGACGGUACCUGAUUAAGAAGCCCCGGCUAACUACGUGCCAGCAGCCGCGGUAAUACGGAGGGGGCAAGCGUUAUCCGGAUUAACUGGGUGUAAAGGGAGCGUAGGCGGCAGCACAAGUCUGGAGUGAAAUGCCGGGGCUUAACCCCGGAACUGCUGUGGAAACUGUGCAGCUAGAGUGCAGGAGAGGUAGGCGGAAGUCGUGGUGUAGCGGUGAAAUGCGUAGAUAUUAGGAGGAACACCGGUUGCGAAGGCGGCUUACUGGACUGUAACUGACGUUGAGGCUCGAAAGCGUGGGGAGCAAACAGGAUUAGAUACCCGUGUAGUC